UGGGGAAUUUUGGACAAUGGGGGAAACCCUGAUCCAGCCAUCCCGCGUGUGCGAUGAAGGCCUUCGGGUUGUAAAGCACUUUUGGCAGGAAAGAAACGUCAUGGGUUAAUACCCCGUGAAACUGACGGUACCUGCAGAAUAAGCACCGGCUAACUACGUGCCAGCAGCCGCGGCAAUACGUAGGGUGCAAGCGUUAAUCGGAAUUACUGGGCGUAAAGCGUGCGCAGGCGGUUCGGAAAGGAAGGUGUGAAAUCCCAGAGCUCAACUUUGGAACUGCAUUUUUAACUGCCGGGCUAGAGUGUGUCAGAGGGGGGUAGAAUUCCGCGUGUAGCAGUGAAAUGCGUAGAUAUGCGGGGGAACACGGAUGGCGAAGGCAGCCUCCUGGGAUAACACUGACGCUCAUGCAAGAAAGCGUGGGGAGCAAACAGG
rnacentral:rRNA from 1 species